rnacentral:rRNA from 1 species
AUGUGGUUAAUUCGAAGCAACGCGAAGAACCUUACCAGGCCUUGACAUGCAGAGAACUUUCCAGAGAUGGAUUGGUGCCUUCGGGAACCUGAACACAGGUGCUGCAUGGCUGUCGUCAGCUCGUGUCGUGAGAUGUUGGGUUAAGUCCCGUAACGAGCGCAACCCUUGUCCUUAGUUGCCAGCGGUUCGGCCGGGAACUCUAAGGAGACUGCCGGUGAUAAACCGGAGGAAGUGGGGACGACGUCAAGUCAUCAUGGCCCUUAUGGGCAGGGCUACACACGUGCUACAAUGGCCAGUACAGAAGGUUGCCAACCCGCGAGGGGGAGCUAAUCCUGAAAAGCUGGUCGUAGUCCGGAUCGCAGUCUGCAACUCGACUGCGUGAAGUCGGAAUCGCUAGUAAUCGCGAAUCAGCAUGUCGCGGUGAAUACGUUCCCGGGCCUU